AACCAAUUCGUUUAACUAGUGCUUGCAGGAGGAGCAUCUGGCUGCUUUUCUGGCAUAGCAUCUUGAAAAGCUGGUAUCUCAUUGUAUGCCUCAUUCAACCUGGAUAAAAGAGGGAAUUGGGUCUGCAGAAUAAAAUUGAAAGAGUGAAAGUAACAGGGCUCAUCAAGCUGAAGGUGAUGAUAUGAUGGCUGCCAUGGAACCCUUGCUUUAUGCUGCCAGUGUGGAUUUAGUACUUGCGGGGCAUGUGCAUGCUUAUGAACGCUCGAAAUGCAUCAAUAAUGGAAGAUUUGAUCCUUGUGGCGCUGUCCACAUAACCAUUGGUGAUGGAGGAAACAAAGAAGGUAUAUAAACCCACAGGCUGAGUGGUCAGUCUUCCGUGAAGCAAGUUUUGGUCAUGGGGAGCUUCUGGAGCUGGCAUAGGAAUGAUGAUGAUGAGCCUGUAAGGUCUGAUCAAGUCUGGAUAACAUCGCUAGUGAGUUCAGGAUGUGUUGCUGAGAUGAGACAACCAGAGGAAGAUAGUUAUGGCACCCUAGAACUUGUCAUGUCCAUGCUUCAGUUCAUAAUAGUUAAGUUUCUCUAACGCUUUUGUCUGCUUGAUUUUUCUCAUGUUUGUUUAAAGAGCUGGGAAUACAUUCAUCAACGUCAAGUCGCCAAUAUCUGCAUUACCAAUAACUCAUUUUGUUGUUUGCAAAUUGCCUACAAUUUAUAGCCUUGUCUUGUCUAUUUUAUAGAUGUAAAUUUCAAGCUUACU